rnacentral:rRNA from 1 species
GAUGAACGCUGGCGGCGUGCCUAAUACAUGCAAGUCGAGCGAACGGACGAGAAGCUUGCUUCUCUGAUGUUAGCGGCGGACGGGUGAGUAACACGUGGAUAACCUACCUAUAAGACUGGGAUAACUUCGGGAAACCGGAGCUAAUACCGGAUAAUAUUUUGAACCGCAUGGUUCAAAAGUGAAAGACGGUCUUGCUGCCACUUAUAGAUGGAUCCGCGCUGCAUUAGCUAGUUGGUAAGGUAACGGCUUACCAAGGCAACGAUGCAUAGCCGACCGGAGAGGGUGAUCGGCCACACUGGAGCUGAGACACGGUCCAGACUCCUACGGGAGGCAGCAGUAGGGAAUCUUCCGCAAUGGGCGAAAGCCUGACGGAGCAACGCCGCGUGAGUGAUGAAGGUCUUCGGAUCGUAAAACUCUGUUAUUAGGGAAGAACAUAUGUGUCAGUAACUGUGCACAUCUUGACGGUACCUAAUCAGAAAGCCACGGCUAACUACGUG